rnacentral:rRNA from 1 species
GAUCUCCAGUCUUGUGCCAGCAGCCGCGGUAAUACGGAGAAUGCGAGCGUUAUCCGGAUUUAUUGGUUUAAAGGUGCGCAGGCGGCGUGUCAAGUCAGCGGUCAAACUGCGGGGCUCAACCCGUACCGCCGUUGAAACUGGCAUGCUCGAGUUCGUGCGAUGGUGGCGGAAUGCGCGGUGUAGCGGUGAAAUGCAUAGAUAUCGCGCAGAACUCCGAUUGCGAAGGCAGCUGCCAAGCACUGGACUGACGCUCAUGCACGAAAGCGUGGGUAUCGAACAGGAUUAGAUACCCUGGUAGUCCACGCGGUAAACGAUGAUAACUAGUUAUCCGGGGCGAUUGGGCCUUGGGUGACCGAGCGAAAGCGUUAAGUUAUCCACCUGGGGAGUACGCCGGCAACGGUGAAACUCAAAGGAAUUGACGGGGGCCCGCACAAGCGGAGGAACAUGUGGUUUAAUUCGAUGAUACGCGAGGAACCUUACCCGGGCUCAAACGCAUGGCGACAGACCCUGAAAGGGGUUCUUCUUCGGACGUCAUGCGAGGUGCUGCAUGGUUGUCGUCAGCUCGUGCCGUGAGGUGUCGGCUUAAGUGCCAUAACGAG